AACGAACGCUGGCGGCAUGCCUAACACAUGCAAGUCGAACGAUACCUUCAGGUCUUGUGGCUUCGGCAUACAUUCCUUUUGGGAUCGUGCCCUUAGGGUCGGUAUCGCUUGCCCAACCUACUUCUUACACCGGGUUAUCUUCUCGAAACCGGGAUUUAUCCCCUUUGACUUUGCCACCAUUCAUUUCGCUGCAUUCAAAGCUACGACCGUACGAGAUGGGCUCGCGUUGCAUUAUCCAGAUGGUUUGGUAACGGCUCACCAUAGUAACGAUGGCUAACCGGGCUGAGAGGAUGAACAGUCACACUGGAACUGAGACACGGUCCAGACUCCUACGGGAGGAAGCAGUGGGGAAUAUUGGACAAUGGGCGAAAGUCUGAUGCAGCGACGCCGCGUGAGUGAUGAAGGAAUUAGUGUCGUAAAGCUCUGUUAUAUGGGAAGAAAAGGACAGUACCGGAGGAGUAAGCUCCGGCUAAAUACGUG
rnacentral:rRNA from 1 species